rnacentral:rRNA from 1 species
UACGGGGGGGGCGAGCGUUGUUCGGAAUUACUGGGCGUAAAGGGCGUGUAGGCGGCCAACUAAGUCCGACGUGAAAUCCCCAGGCUUAACCUGGGAACUGCGUCGGAUACUGGAUGGCUUGAAUCCGGGAGAGGGAUGCGGAAUUCCAGGUGUAGCGGUGAAAUGCGUAGAUAUCUGGAGGAACACCGGUGGCGAAGGCGGCAUCCUGGACCGGCAUUGACGCUAAAGCGCGAAAGCCAGGGGAGCAAACGGG